UCGUGGGGAUGUUGAGAGUCUUCUUACAAUUUACUAAUCAUCUGUUUUUCUUUUCAGUAUAAUCUCCUUUCUCGUGGAAUAUUAUCUUUGAAAGUAUUACAAGAGCUCCCAAUAAUAGUUGUACUAAUGAAUCAAAUAUAAAAAAAACGCAGUACAUCGAUAAGUUUCUGAAUUCAUUCCUCUUAUAUUGACGACUAUUAAUUUUCAACCAACAGUAACAAGAAGGAAAUUAUUAAUAACAAAUGUACAAAAUGUAGCGCGUACUAGAAAAAAAAGUGUACUAGAUUUCGUUGAAAAGUUUUAACAGGCAUCCAUUAUUUCCAAUUACGUGUAUUACUGGUCACGAUAACUAGUAGAGUCGAUCUGGCAAUGUCUGUCUGUCGAAGCGGAACAUCUUUACAUGGAGACGAACUGGUUCGCGAACAUGAAGUUCGAACCCUGGUUCACCUUACAACAUCGUCGGUGGGAUAAAAUUAUAUGCUCUGUAACGUGUAACGAAAUAAAGUGAUGGAAGGCA
rnacentral:sRNA from 1 species